UGGGGAAUAUUGCACAAUGGGGGAAACCCUGAUGCAGCGACGCCGCGUGAGCGAAGAAGGUUUUCGAAUCGUAAAGCUCUGUCCUAUGAGAAGAUAAUGACGGUAUCAUAGGAGGAAGCCCCGGCUAAAUACGUGCCAGCAGCCGCGGUAAUACGUAUGGGGCGAGCGUUGUCCGGAAUUAUUGGGCGUAAAGGGUACGUAGGCGGUCUAUUAAGUCAGGUGUCAAAGCGUGGAGCUUAACUCCAUUAAGCACUUGAAACUGAAAGACUUGAGUGAAGGAGAGGAAAGUGGAAUUCCUAGUGUAGCGGUGAAAUGCGUAGAUAUUAGGAGGAAUACCGGUGGCGAAGGCGACUUUCUGGACUUUUACUGACGCUCAGGUACGAAAGCGUGGGGAGCAAACAGG
rnacentral:rRNA from 1 species